AACGAACGCUGGCGGCAGGCCUAACACAUGCAAGUCGAGCGGACCCUUCGGGGUUAGCGGCGGACGGGUGAGUAACGCGUGGGAAUAUGCCCUUCUCUACGGAAUAGUCCUGGGAAACUGGGGGUAAUACCGUAUACGCCCUUUGGGGGAAAGAUUUAUCGGGGAAGGAUUAGCCCGCGUUGGAUUAGGUAGUUGGUGGGGUAAUGGCCUACCAAGCCGACGAUCCAUAGCUGGUUUGAGAGGAUGAUCAGCCACACUGGGACUGAGACACGGCCCAGACUCCUACGGGAGGCAGCAGUGGGGAAUCUUAGACAAUGGGGGCAACCCUGAUCUAGCCAUGGCGCGUGAGUGAUGAAGGCCUUAGGGUUGUAAAGCUCUUUCAGCUGGGAAGAUAAUGACGGUACCAGCAGAAGAAGCCCCGGCUAACUCCGUG
rnacentral:rRNA from 1 species